rnacentral:misc_RNA from 1 species
GAUGAAGAACGCAGCGAAAUGCGAUACUUGGUGUGAAUUGCAGAAUCCCAUGAACCAUCGAGUCUUUGAACGCAAGUUGCGCCCGAAGCCAUCAGGUUGAGGGCACGUCUGCCUGGGCGUCACAUAUCGUUGCCCAAUGCCUAUUGCAGUGCAAUAGGAAUUUCUAGGGCGAAUGAUGGCUUCCCGUGAGCGUUGUUGCCUCGCGGUUGGUUGAAAAUCGAGUCCUUGGUAGGGUGUGCCAUGGUAGAUGGUGGUCGAGUUAGAACGAUACCGAUCAUGUGCAUGCUCCCCAAAAUAUGGCCUCUAUGACCCACACGCGUCUUUUGACGCUCAUGACGAGACCUCAGGUCAGGCGGGGCUACCCGCUGAAUUUAAGCAUAUCAAUAAGCGGAGGA